UACGGGGGGGCAAGCGUUGUUCGGAAUUACUGGGCGUAAAGGGCUCGUAGGCGGCCAACUAAGUCAGACGUGAAAUCCCUCAGCUUAACUGGGGAACUGCGUCUGAUACUGGAUGGCUUGGAUUCGGGAGAGGAAUGCGGAAUUCCAGGUGUAGCGGUGAAAUGCGUAGAUAUCUGGAGGAACACCGGUGGCGAAGGCGGCAUUCUGGACCGAUAUUGACGCUGAGGAGCGAAAGCCAGGGGAGCAAACGGG
rnacentral:rRNA from 1 species